rnacentral:rRNA from 1 species
GGGCGAAGCCUGAUGCAGCACGCCGCGUGAGUGAUGAAGGCCUUCGGGUCGUAAAGCUCUGUCGUUAGGGAAGAACAUGUACGGUCCAGAAAGGGCGGUCCCUGGUCGGUCCCUGCCAAGAACCCCCGGGCUACGACCUGGCCACCAGCCGCGGUAAUCGGA